UACGAAGGGGGCUAGCGUUGUUCGGAAUUACUGGGCGUAAAGCGCACGUAGGCGGAUAUUUAAGUCAGGGGUGAAAUCCCAGAGCUCAACUCUGGAACUGCCUUUUGAUACUGGGUAUCUCGAGUAUGGAAGAGGUGAGUGGAAUUCCGAGUGUAGAGGUGAAAUUCGUAGAUAUUCGGAGGAACACCAGUGGCGAAGGCGGCUCACUGGUCCAUUACUGACGCUGAGGUGCGAAAGCGUGGGGGAGCAAAACAGG
rnacentral:rRNA from 1 species